rnacentral:rRNA from 1 species
GAUGAACGCUAGCUACAGGCUUAACACAUGCAAGUCGAGGGACGGGCGCACGGGGGCGGAACACGUAUCCCACCUGCCCUUUACUCGGGGAUAGGCUUUCGAAAGAGAGAAUAAUACCCGAUAUAAAGGAUGGGGAUGCGUUCCAUUAGGUUGUGGGUGAGGUACCGGCUCACAAAGCAGUCGAUGGAUAGGGGGUCUGGGAUGAAGGUCCCCCACAUUGUAACUGAGACCCGGUCCAAACUCUUACGGGAGGCAGCGGUGAGGAAUAUUGGUCAAGGGGCGCUAGCCUGGACCAGCCAAGUAGCGUGAAGGAUGAAGGCUUAUGGGUCGUAAACUUCUUUUAUAUAAGAAUCUGUAUUAUAUGAAUAAGGCUCGGCUAACUCCGUGCCAGCCGCCGCGGUAAUUC